rnacentral:lncRNA from 1 species
CCCCAAAGUACAGUGACCUAGAUAAAACCACGCUAACAUUUUGGGAAAAAACACUGGGAACUUCUGGUCCUGUUGCCUGUGUUAACUAGGCCAAGAGGCCCAUGGCAGGAGAAGUAACCUUUAAAACCAAUAAAUGGUACCUAUACCAGAUAUCUGCAGGAAGGAUCCAUCUAACUGCACAGUGAUGGUUCACAGUGAUUUAACAUAUGUGAAGUCACGUGGGCCCAGGAGGCCCAACUCCAUAAGCUGUUGGACCAACUGAGGCAGCAAAGCCAUGAGGAAACACUGAAGUUUCACCUGGAAAAUACCCAAUAUAUUCUCCAAAACAUGAAAUACUGGUAGGCAAACCAGAUUCAAAAAGACAGAAGGGGAUGGCCUGAAAUCCAUAAUUAAGGUCAGAUGAAGCCUGCUUAGGAGCCCAGGGGUGUGCCCAGGAAGUUCAAGAUGAAAAUCUUGCCUCUAACUUUGGAGAAUGUUGUGGACUUUGCUGCUCUGUUCUCAGCCAACUCAGGAGGUUCCAGGGAGAAUUUUGAUCUGAAUAGCUUAUGGAGGGAGGUUUCAAGGUCAUGUAAUUUAAACAAGUGCAGUCAAAGAGAUGGCUGUAAGUGAGGAAAGCAGGGCUCCUGGAGUGGUGAGAGUCACUAGGACAGAUGGGAGAGAUGGGGGGCUGGGGAGGGUGUGGGUGCACCAACGAUGCACUCCUCGGGUCCCCAAGAUGCCAGAUGUCUGGGAAGCAGCUGCCACCAUGGCCUUUACCACUGCAGCCACCGCCAGUGCCAUUUCCCCAACUGCCAAGUACACCACCGCAGUAGGCUGGACAGGGAAGUAAAAAGUAGGUUCCAAGUUCACCACUGUGGUCUCAAAUCUGGACCUGGGCAUGUUGGGAUUGGGUCUGAUAGGAGCUGUGGGGCAAGAGGAAUUACCCUGAGGCAGGGGCAUGAAGAUCCCUGAGCUCCUCUCCAAGUGUCAUUUGUUGCAUUUGCACCUGUUGAGCUGAGGUGGAUCCCUGCCCCAGAGGUGACCAGAGGCAGCCCCCUCCACAUGCCACACCACAGGGGGUCCCACCCCACACAAUGCUUCCCAGGAGGCUGUGGGACACCACCCCCACUGCUGGUGCCCUUGCACCAGCUGCUGCCAAGUUCGUCAUCCUCCCUCGGGAGCCCGGCCUGGGCUGGAAGGGGCCCGAAUGUGGAGGGGCUGAGACACAGUUUGGGCACACUAGCUGCAUGGCAGCCUUCUGCUCCAACCAGGCUGAUGACAACUGCCAGGGUACUUUCAGGUCUCAGGAGCCUUUUCCCCAUCCUAGACCCCAGACAGAGACUCAUCCCAGGAAGCUGGAAUGGCUGGCCUCCUUCAGACAAAGCAGGCUCCUCCAGAGGAUACACCUCUCCCUGUGCCCUUCCACAGUGCACCCAGGGAGAUGGCCAGGGGAAGGCCUGCCUUGGACCUUAGUCAUGGAUUUCUCUCAAGAGUAGAGCUCUGGGCAGCAGGAGGGCAUGGCUUUAGUGACUCCAGUGUGAAGGGAGGUGCCUGCCCAUGGAAGGGCAGGCCUGCCAAUUUCCCCACUAUUUCCACAGGGGGCGUGGCAUGCCUAGUAUGGCCACACUCCUUUGGCUAGUGUUCCUGAGCCCUGUUCACUUGUCAAACAUUUACUGCUCCCUGAGUUGAAAAGUUCCUUCCUGACGGGAGGCCUUGUUCUGUCAAACAAUAAAGGAGGCCCCGGAUGAUCAGCAUGCAGGAGGGAUAGCCUUGCCCUGCCCCCUGGUCCCUGAUGGGCAAAGAGGGAAAGAAAGCUAUUUUCAAAGGAUGGGAGUGGGACCUGAGCAGAAGGGGAGAAGGGGAUGUGAGACAGAGUUGUAGAAGUUGUGAAUCCCAGUUCACCAGCAGAUGCACCCGGCCACCACCAGUGGGCUCCCCCACACUUUCAGUGCCACAAGGACCUGUCCCUCAGCAAGCCCAAGGGCCUUUCUGAGACCAGUCACCUUUGCUGUGCAUGCGUAGAUAGAAAGAAGGGUUUUCCCUCCAUGGAGCAGGACUUCCAGAGUGCUAACAGUCAAUAAGACCCAUGGGAUUUGUCAGUCAGUUGGGGAGGGGCGGGUGCACCCACCAUCCUCUCUUCAUUUCCCUGAGAUCCUAGAUCUGGUGAGAGUCACUUGAGGUUUCCAUGAAAUUAGUGGAGUUCUCACUGUGUUGUAGGGGGUCUUGUUGAGGUAAUGGUUGGCCUCUGUGAUAUCAGGUCUUGGUGAGGUCACAGGGGGGGUCUCUAUAAUGUCACUAGAGGUUUCUUGGAGGUCAUGGGAGUUCUUUGUGUGUUCAGGGAGUUCUCUGUGAAAUCAGGAGACCUCACUUUGAGGGAAGAGGGCUUCACUAUGAGGUCAGUGGAGGUCUCUGGGUGGUCAGACAAGUCUCUGUGUGGGCAUGGGAUGUCUCUAUCUGGUCAGGGGGAGUGUCUAAAGUGUCAGGGGAUGUCUCUGUUAGGUCAGCUGAGAUCUCUGUCUGUCAGCGAGGGCAGAAGGGGCCUCUAUGAGGUCAGAGGUGGUCUCUGUGAGGUCAUGGUGUUACCAAAAUCAAAGUGGGUUGAAUCCUUGAGAGUUAAGUUGUCAUGAGCACACUAAAGCUAUUUGGGGACAUAAACCUUGCCUUGUUUCUUUUUCAUCCAGCCCUUGACUAUUGGGGACUACUGAUAAUGCUGUGUAGUAGCUUCCCUAACUUCAUCUGUAGUAAGUUCACAGAAGGUGUCAGUUCACACAAGGGCAGUGUGGAAAUUAAUGGUAACUACAGAAGCUCUCCUGAUGGAGCGGCCAUUUUUGCAGCUGCAGCUGCCACUUUAUGUCCUUUUGUGGAAUCUGAUUCCUCACUUUGAUGGGCUUUACCAUGGAUCCCAGCUACUUUCUUGGGGACCUG